rnacentral:rRNA from 1 species
UCCUCCAAGGCUAAAUACUCCUGACUGACCGAUAGUGAACCAGUACCGUGAGGGAAAGGCGAAAAGAACCCCGGCGAGGGGAGUGAAAAAGAACCUGAAACCGUGUACGUACAAGCAGUGGGAGCACCCUUUGGGGUGUGACUGCGUACCUUUUGUAUAAUGGGUCAGCGACUUAUAUUCUGUAGCAAGGUUAACCGUAUAGGGGAGCCGGAGGGAAACCGAGUCUUAACCGGGCGUUAAGUUGCAGGGUAUAGACCCGAAACCCGGUGAUCUAGCCAUGGGCAGGUUGAAGGUUGGGUAACACUAACUGGAGGACCGAACCGACUAAUGUUGAAAAAUUAGCGGAUGACCUGUGGCU